rnacentral:tmRNA from 1 species
GGGGCUGAUUCUGGAUUCGACGGGAUUUGCGAAACCCAAGGUGCAUGCCGAGGGGCGGUUGGCCUCGUAAAAAGCCGCAAAAAAAUAGUCGCAAACGACGAAACCUACGCUUUAGCAGCUUAAUAACCUGCUUAGAGCCCUCUCUCCCUAGCCUCCGCUCUUAGGACGGGGAUCAAGAGAGGUCAAACCCAAAAGAGAUCGCGUGGAUGCCCUGCCUGGGGUUGAAGCGUUAAAACGAAUCAGGCUAGUCUGGUAGUGGCGUGUCCGUCCGCAGGUGCCAGGCGAAUGUAAAGACUGACUAAGCAUGUAGUACCGAGGAUGUAGGAAUUUCGGACGCGGGUUCAACUCCCGCCAGCUC